rnacentral:rRNA from 1 species
UACAGAGCCUGCAAGCGUUAUUCGGAUUCACUGGGCGUAAAGGGUGCGCAGGCGGCCGUGUGUGUGAGGCGUGAAAGCCCGGGGCUUAACCCCGGAAUUGCACCUCAAACUACACGGCUAGAGCAUUGGAGAGGGUAGCAGAAUUCACGGUGUAGCAGUGAAAUGCGUAGAUAUCGUGAGGAAUACCAGAGGCGAAGGCGGCUACCUGGACAAUUGCUGACGCUCAGGCACGAAAGCGUGGGGAGCAAAAGGG